rnacentral:rRNA from 1 species
AAGAUCUUGAGUGUAAAUGAGNUAGGCGGAAUGUGUUGUGUAGCGGUGAAAUGCUUAGAUAUAACACAGAACACCAAUUGCGAAGGCAGCUUACUGGGAUACAACUGACGCUGAGGCACGAAAGCGUGGGGAUCAAACAGGAUUAGAUACCCUGGUAGUCCACGCAGUAAACGAUGAAUACUAACUGUAUGCGAUAUACUGUAUGCGGUACAGCGAAAGCGUUAAGUAUUCCACCUGGGGAGUACGUUCGCAAGAAUGAAACUCAAAGGAAUUGACGGGGGCCCGCACAAGCGGAGGAACAUGUGGUUUAAUUCGAUGAUACGCGAGGAACCUUACCCGGGCUUGAAAUGCAGACGACCGAUGGGGAAACUCAUCUUCCAGCAAUGGCGUCUGUGUAGGUGCUGCAUGGUUGUCGUCAGCUCGUGCCGUGAGGUGUCGGCUUAAGUGCCAUAACGAGCGCAACCCUUAUCAUUAGUUACUAACAGGUUAAGCUGAGGACUCUAAUGAGACUGCCACCGUAAGGUGUGAGGAAGGUGGGGAUGACGUCAAAUCAGCACGGCCCUUACGUCCGGGGCGACACACGUGUUACAAUGGGGGGUACAGAGGGUCGCUACCUAGUGAUAGGAUGCUAAUCUCAUAAAGCCUCUCUCAGUUCGGAUCGGAGUCUGCAACUCGACUCCGUGAAGCUGGAUUCGCUAGUAAUCGCGCAUCAGCCAUGGCGCGGUGAAUACGUUCCCGGGCCUUGUACACACCGCCCGUCAAGCCAUGGAAGCUGGGGGGACCUGAAGUACGUAACCGCAAGGAGCGUCCUAGGGUAAAACUAGUAACUAGGGCUAAGUCGU